rnacentral:rRNA from 1 species
GACGAACGCUGGCGGCGUGCCUAAUACAUGCAAGUAGAACGCACAGUUUAUACCGUAGCUUGCUACACCAUAGACUGUGAGUUGCGAACGGGUGAGUAACGCGUAGGUAACCUGCCUGGUAGCGGGGGAUAACUAUUGGAAACGAUAGCUAAUACCGCAUAAUCUUGAUUAUUGCAUGAUAAUUGAUUGAAAGAUGCUAUUGCAUCACUACCAGAUGGACCUGCGUUGUAUUAGCUAGUAGGUGAGGUAACGGAUCACCUAGGCGACGAUACAUAGCCGACCUGAGAGGGUGAUCGGCCACACUGGGACUGAGACACGGCCCAGACUCCUUCGGGAGGCAGCAGUAGGGAAUCUUCGGCAAUGGACGAAAGUCUGACCGAGCAACGCCGCGUGAGGGAAGAAGGUUCUCGGAUCGGAAAGCUCUGUUGUAAGAGAAGAACGGGUGUGAGAGUGGAAAGUUCACACUGUGACGGUAUCUUACCAGAAAGGGACGGCUAACUACGUG